rnacentral:rRNA from 1 species
CCUACGGGAGGCUGCAGUGGGGAAUAUUGCGCAAUGGGCGAAAGCCUGACGCAGCGACGCCGCGUGAGGGAUGAAGGUCUUCGGAUCGUAAACCUCUUUUCUCAGGGACGAAGCAAGUGACGGUACCUGAGGAAUAAGCCACGGCUAACUACGUGCCAGCAGCCGCGGUAAUACGUAGGUGGCAAGCGUUAUCCGGAUUUACUGGGUGUAAAGGGCGUGUAGGCGGGACUGCAAGUCAGAUGUGAAAACCACGGGCUCAACCUGUGGCCUGCAUUUGAAACUGUAGUUCUUGAGUACUGGAGAGGCAGACGGAAUUCCUAGUGUAGCGGUGAAAUGCGUAGAUAUUAGGAGGAACACCAGUGGCGAAGGCGGUCUGCUGGACAGCAACUGACGCUGAGGCGCGAAAGCGUGGGGAGCAAACAGGAUUAGAUACCCUGGUAGUC